rnacentral:rRNA from 1 species
GAUGAACGCUGGCGGCGUGCCUAAUACAUGCAAGUCGAGCGAACGGACGAGAAGCUUGCUUCUCUGAUGUUAGCGGCGGACGGGUGAGUAACACGUGGAUAACCUACCUAUAAGACUGGGAUAACUUCGGGAAACCGUAGCUAAUACCGGAUAAUAUUUUGAACCGCAUGGUUCAAAAGUGAAAGACGGUCUUGCUGUCACUUAUAGAUGGAUCCGCGCUGCAUUAGCUAGUUGGUAAGGUAACGGCUUACCAAGGCAACGAUGCAUAGCCGACCUGAGAGGGUGAUCGGCCACACUGGAACUGAGACACGGUCCAGACUCCUACGGGAGGCAGCAGUAGGGAAUCUUCCGCAAUGGGCGAAAGCCUGACGGAGCAACGCCGCGUGAGUGAUGAAGGUCUUCGGAUCGUAAAACUCUGUUAUUAGGGAAGAACAGAUGUGUAAGUAACUGUGCACAUCUUGACGGUACCUAAUCAGAAAGCCCCGGCUAACUACGUG